CUAGGGUGGCAGCAGUGAGGAAUAUUGGUCAAUGGGCGGAAGCCUGAACCAGCCAAGUCGCGUGAGGGAGUAAGGCCCUACGGGUCGUAAACCUCUUUUGCCGGGGAGCAGUGCCCAGCUCGUGAGCAGGGAGGGAGCGUAGCCGGAGAAAAAGAAUAGGCUAACACCGUGCAAGCAGCCGCGGUAAUAGGGAGGAAGCGAGCGUUAUCCGGAUUUAUGGGGUUAAAGGGGGGCGUAGGCGGGCCUUCAGGCCGCCGGUAAAAUUGCGGGCCUCAACCCCGCCGAGCCGUCGGAACCGGGGGCCUUGAGUACCGGAGAAGUACGCGGAAUGCGUGGUGUAGCGGUGAAAUGCAUAGAUAUCACGCAGAACCCCGAUUGCGAAGGCAGCGUACCGGCCGGUCACUGACGCUGAGGCACGAAAGCGCGGGUAUCGAACAGGAUUAGAUACCCUAGUAGUC
rnacentral:rRNA from 1 species